UACGUAGGGUGCAAGCGUUGUCCGGAAUUAUUGGGCGUAAAGAGCUCGUAGGCGGUUUGUUGCGUCGGCUGUGAAAUCCCGAGGCUCAACCUCGGGUCUGCAGUCGAUACGAGCAAACUAGAGUGUUGCAGGGGAGACUGGAAUUCCUGGUGUAGCGGUGAAGUGCGCAGAUAUCAGGAGGAACACCGGUGGCGAAGGCGGGUCUCUGGGCAACAACUGACGCUGAGGAGCGAAAGCCAGGGGAGCAAACGGG
rnacentral:rRNA from 1 species